GCGGGAUUAGUUUAAUGGUAAAAUUUCUGUUUUCCAAACAGAUGUUGGGAGUUCGAUUCUCCCAUCCCGCA
rnacentral:tRNA from 9 species